rnacentral:rRNA from 1 species
CGGAUGGAAUAUAAGACUUAGUGGCGGACGGGUGAGUAACACGUAAGUAAUCAACCUAUAACACACGAAUAACUAAUAGAAAUGUUAGCUAAUACGAGAUAAAAUAUAUGAUAUGGGAAUAUUAUAUAUCAAAGCUGAGGCGGUUAUAGACGAGCUUGCGUCUGAUUAGCUAGUUGGUGGGGUAAGAGCCUACCAAGGCGACGAUCAGUAGCCGACCUGAGAGGGUGAACGGCCACAUUGGAACUGAGAGACGGUCCAAACUCCUACGGGAGGCAGCAGUGGGGGAUAUUGCACAAUGGGGGGAACCCUGAUGCAGCAAUGCCGCGUGAACGAAGAAGGCCCCAGGGUCGUAAAGUUCUGUCGUAUGGGAAGAAAGAAAUGACAGUACCAUACAAGAAAGCCCCGGCUAACUACGUGCCAGCAGCCGCGGUAAUACGUAGGGGGCAAGCGUUAUCCGGAAUUACUGGGCGUAAAGGGUGCGUAGGCGGCUUGUUAAGUCAAGGUUAAAAGGCAGCAGCUCAACUGCUGUUCGGCCUUGAAACUAAUAAGCUUGAGUAUAGGAGAGGAAAGUGGAAUUCCCAGUGUAGCGGUGAAAUGCGUAGAUAUUGGGAGGAAUACCGGUGGCGAAGGCGACUUUCUGGACUAAAACUGACGCUGAGGCACGAAAGUGUGGGUAGCAAACAGGAUUAGAUACCCUGGUAGUCCACACCGUAAACGAUGAACACUAGGUGUCGGGAGGAAUCUCGGUGCCGGCGCAAACGCAAUAAGUGUUCCGCCUGGGGAGUACGUUCGCAAGAAUAAAACUCAAAGGAAUUGACGGGGACCCGCACAAGUAGCGGAGCAUGUGGUUUAAUUCGAAGCAACGCGAAGAACCUUACCUAAGCUUGACAUGGGAUUGAAAAGCAAUGUAAAGUUGUAAUAAUACCUUCGGGUAUACAAUCCACACAGGUGGUGCAUGGUUGUCGUCAGCUCGUGUCGUGAGAUGUUGGGUUAAGUCCCGCAACGAGCGCAACCCCUAUUAAUAGUUGCCAGUGCGUAAAGGCAGGCACUCUAAUAAGACAGUUAGGGAUAACCUAAAGGAAGGUGGGGAUGACGUCAAAUCAUCAUGCCCCUUAUGCUUAGGGCUACACACGUGCUACAAUGGCCGUAACAAAGAGAAGCGAAUCUGUGAAGAAGAGCAAACCUGAAAAAAACGGUCC